rnacentral:rRNA from 1 species
UACGUAGGGGGCAAGCGUUGUCCGGAAUCAUUGGGCGUAAAGCGCGUGUAGGCGGCCCGAUAAGUCCGCUGUGAAAGUCCAGGGCUCAACCCUGGGAUGCCGGUGGAUACUGUCGGGCUCGAGUCCGGAAGAGGCGAGUGGAAUUCCUGGUGUAGCGGUGAAAUUCGUAGAUAUUGGGAAGAACACCGGUGGCGAAGGCGGCGCUCUGGACCGAGACUGACGCUGAGGCGCGAAAGCGUGGGGAGCAAACAGG